GGGGGUGAAUAGGUUCGACGGCAACUUAUCGUGCCAAAGUUGCAGGCCAUGGUUGACCAGGCCAUGUAAAACAGGGUCAAAACAAAAAAAGCCAACUCAAACGAGCUGGCCUGGGCCCACGCCUAAGUGAGCCUCGCUGCCGGACGUCUCUCUGCAACGUCCGGUGAGCGUCAAAACGCAGGGUGCUGUCCGCGUGUCGCGCUUCGUAUUCGCGGGCAAAAGACAACACGGAGCUUUGGACCGGCUUUGUCGUCCUGAACUUGGCCGAUCCGAGACAAACUCAGGGCUAAGCCUGUAGUGGCUCUGGCAUGUAAUUGUCGGACGCGAGUGCGAAUCUCGCCACCUCCAUAA
rnacentral:tmRNA from 2 species